rnacentral:rRNA from 1 species
GAUGAACGCUGGCGGCGUGCCUAACACAUGCAAGUCGAGCGAACGGACCCGGCGUUUGUGGGUCUCUUGUUAGCCGCAGGCGUGAGAGUAACAUGUGUAUCCCCUCCCUGUCUGACUGGGAUAACCUCGGGACACCGGCGCUUAUACCGUAGAAUCUUUUGCUCCGCGGUGGUCAAAGGUGAGAUUCGGUCUUUCGGUCUCUACUAGCUGGUUCCGGGCUGCUUGAGCUGGUUGUUGAGUUAAUGGCUUACCAAGGCAAGUAUGCAUAGCCGGCCGCAGAGGGGGAUCGCCGACAUGGGAAGUGAGACACGGUCCAGACUCCUACGAGAGGCAGCAGUAGGGAAUCGGACGCAAUGGGGGAGAGCCUGACAGAGCAACGCCGCGUGAGUGAUGAAGGUGUUCGGAGCGGAAAGCUCUGUUAUGAGUGAAGAACAUAUGUGUAAGUAACCGGGCAGAUAUUGACGGUACCGGGUCAGAAAGCCCCGGCUAACUACGUG